CAAAGAUUUUAUAGGAUGUAUGAAGAGUGUAUAAAUUAAGAUGUUAUAAAAGAGUGUAUAAAGUUAUAAAAGGGUUUCCUACUUUAUAAUAAUUAAGUAUGUAAUGUAAGAUUUUACUUAUUUCAUAAUGUUUUUGUUUUUUUCAAUUUAAGAUGCUAUUUAUGUUGUCAGGUAAUAAAGUAUUGAUUAAGUUUUUCUUGCAAGUUGUAGUUCUGUAUUCCUUUUAUUUAUUGUUUAAAAAGUUUAGUAUAUAAUGUUUAAAGAUGUGUCUUAAGAGUGUCUGUAAUAUUUUUUAUUAUUAUUGUUUACUUGAACUGUAAGAUUUUUUUUUUUUUAUUACUUUGGAUGACUGAGGACAGCCAUGUUGUCAGGAAGGGCCGAAUGUGGAAUGAUUAUUGAAUGUGAAUGAUUUAAAUAGUUAAUCUGUGAAGUGUGAAUGAAAGGAAGAAUGAGUGAAAGGGAUAUAGUGUGUUCGGCCAUUAUAGAUUUGAAUAGAAGAGGGACGGUUAACGAGCGAGCGAGUGCACGGUGAAUUAGGUAUAAUUUUAUUAAAAUAAACGUGUUAAGGUGA